UACGUAGGGUGCAAGCGUUAUCCGGAAUUAUUGGGCGUAAAGAGCUCGUAGGCGGUUUGUCGCGUCUGCUGUGAAAACCGGAGGCUCAACCUCCGGCCUGCAGUGGGUACGGGCAAACUAGAGUGCGGUAGGGGAGAUUGGAAUUCCUGGUGUAGCGGUGGAAUGCGCAGAUAUCAGGAGGAACACCAAUGGCGAAGGCAGAUCUCUGGGCCGUAACUGACGCUGAGGAGCGAAAGCAUGGGGAGCGAACAGG
rnacentral:rRNA from 1 species